UAAGCGGAGGAAAAGAAACCAACAGGGAUUGCCCUAGUAACGGCGAGUGAAGCGGCAACAGCUCAAAUUUGAAAUCUGGCGCAAGCCCGAGUUGUAAUUUGUAGAGGAUGCUUCUAGGUAGCGACCGGUCUAAGUUCCUUGGAACAGGACGUCAUAGAGGGUGAGAAUCCCGUAUGUGACCGGCCCGCACCUUCUACGUAGCUCCUUCGACGAGUCGAGUUGUUUGGGAAUGCAGCUCUAAAUGGGAGGUAAAUUUCUUCUAAAGCUAAAUACCGGCCAGAGACCGAUAGCGCACAAGUAGAGUGAUCGAAAGAUGAAAAGCACUUUGGAAAGAGAGUUAAAAAGCACGUGAAAUUGUUGAAAGGGAAGCGCUUACAACCAGACUUCUGGGCGGUGUUCCGCCGGUCUUUUGACCGGUCUACUCGCCGUCCCGAGGCCAACAUCAUCUGGGACCGCUGGAUAAGACCUCAGGAAUGUAGCUUCCCUCGGGAAGUGUUAUAGCCUGUGGUGAUGCAGCGCGUCUCGGGUGAGGUCCGCGCUUCGGCAAGGAUGUUGGCGUAAUGGUUGUCAGCGGCCCGUCUUGAAACACGGACCAAGGAGUCUAACAUCUAUGCGAGUGUUCGGGUGUCAAACCCCUACGCGUAAUGAAAGUGAACGGAGGUGGGAAGGGUAACCUGCACCAUCGACCGAUCCUGAUGUCCUCGGAUGGAUUUGAGUAAGAGCAUAGCUGUUGGGACCCGAAAGAUGGUGAACUAUGCCUGAAUAGGGUGAAGCCAGAGGAAACUCUGGUGGAGGCUCGCAGCGGUUCUGACGUGCAAAUCGAUCGUCAAAUUUGGGUAUAGGGGCGAAAGACUAAUCGAACCAU
rnacentral:rRNA from 1 species